rnacentral:rRNA from 1 species
AAGGGCACACGGGGGAUGCCUUGGCGUCUAGUGCCGAUGAAGGACGUGGUACACUGCGAGAAGUUCCGGUCAGGCGUGUGCAGCCGUUAGCAGCCGGAAAUGUCCGAAUGGGGAAACCCACCCGAAGUCAUGUUCGGGUACGUCGAAAGACGAGGGA